rnacentral:rRNA from 1 species
ACUCAAAUGAAUUGACGGGGGCCCGCACAAGCGGUGGAGCAUGUGGUUCAAUUCGACGCAACGCGAAGAACCUUACCUGGGCUCGAACGGCUAUGGAUCGACCGUAGAAAUAUGGUUUUCCCGCAAGGGACUGUAGUCGAGGUGCUGCAUGGCUGUCGUCAGCUCGUGUCGUGAGAUGUUGGGUUAAGUCCCGCAACGAGCGCAACCCUUGUCCUGUGUUGCCAUCAUUUAGUUGGGCACUCGCAGGAGACCGCCAGCGAUAAGUUGGAGGAAGGUGGGGAUGAUGUCAAGUCAUCAUGGCCUUUAUGUCCAGGGCUACACACGUGCUACAAUGGACGGUACAAACCGCUGCAAACCCGCGAGGGGGAGCUAAUCGGAGAAAACCGUUCUCAGUUCGGAUUGCAGGCUGCAACUCGCCUGCAUGAAGCUGGAAUCGCUAGUAAUGCCGUAUCAGAACGACGGCGUGAAUACGUUCCCGGGCCUUGCACACACCGCCCGU